rnacentral:rRNA from 1 species
GCAUGCAAGUCAAACGGGAUGUAGCAAUACAUCUAGUGGCGAACGGGUGAGUAACGCGUGGAUGAUCUACCUACGAGAUGGGGAUAACUAUUAGAAAUAGUAGCUAAUACCGAAUAAAGUCAAUUAAUUUGUUAAUUGAUGAAAGGAAGCCUUUAAAGCUUCGCUUGUAGAUGAGUCUGCGUCUUAUUAGCUAGUUGGUAGGGUAAAUGCCUACCAAGGCGAUGAUAAGUAACCGGCCUGAGAGGGUGAACGGUCACACUGGAACUGAGAUACGGUCCAGACUCCUACGGGAGGCAGCAGCUAAGAAUCUUCCGCAAUGGGCGAAAGCCUGACGGAGCGACACUGCGUGAAUGAAGAAGGUCGAAAGAUUGUAAAAUUCUUUUAUAAAUGAGGAAUAAGCUUUGUAGGAAAUGACAAAGUGAUGACGUUAAUUUAUGAAUAAGCCCCGGCUAAUUACGUGCCAGCAGCCGCGGUAAUACGUAAGGGGCGAGCGUUGUUCGGGAUUAUUGGGCGUAAAGGGUGAGUAGGCGGAUAUAUAAGUCUAUGCAUAAAAUACCACAGCUCAACUGUGGAACUAUGUUGGAAACUAUAUAUCUAGAGUCUGAUAGAGGAAGUUAGAAUUUCUGGUGUAA